rnacentral:lncRNA from 1 species
CAAGGAGGAGGAGAAAGAAGUGCAGAACAUCGCAAUCUUGAUGUUGCCAGAUGCUGUCCUGUGGGAAGUUCUUCUUCACGUGGUCCUGGAGGAGGGUGACGCUGCAUUGUUUAAGCGGUCUUUGGUUUGUUCCAAACAGACUCAUUUUGAAAGAGGGCACACUUCUGCUGGCUUGACAGUGAUUAGGACGGGAUCCUGGUCGGAGACAGGAGCUAUGCCUGCAGGCAUUACUUCAUGACCCCAACCCUGGACUACAAACCCGUUACAAUGCAGCCAGGACAAGGGCACGCAUUGAAAUGACCUUUUGGGCAACUAAAGGGAAGGUUUCAGUGUCUGAGGGUUGCACCUGACAGGGCAUGCAACAUUGUGGCAUGUGCUGUAUUACACAACAUUGCCACCAUCAGAAAGGAGUGAGUGAGUGAGUGAAGUGACAUGUGGCCAAGUAUGGUGACCCAUACUUGGAAUUAGUGCUCUGCAUUUACCCAUCCAAAGUGCGCACACACACAGCAGUGAACACACACAAACCGUGAACAUACACCCGGAGCAGUGGGCAGCCAUUUAUGCUGCGGCGCCCGCGGAGCAGUUGGGAAGAACAACUUGCUCAAGGGCACCUCAGUCGUGGUACUGAAGGUGGAAGAGAGCGCUGUACAUUCACUCCCCCCACCUACAAUCCCUGCCGGUACGAGACUCGAACCCACAGCCUUUGGGUUAUGAGUCCGACUCUCUAACCAUUAGGCCACGACUUCCUGAAAGGAGAGGACCCC